UCUGUGCCGGAGUUAACGCAAUAAGUACCCCGCCUGGGGAGUACGACCGCAAGGUUGAAACUCAAAGGAAUUGACGGGGGCCCGCACAAGCGGUGGAGUAUGUGGUUUAAUUCGACGCAACGCGAAGAACCUUACCAGGUCUUGACAUUGAUGGACAGAACCAGAGAUGGUUCCUCUUCUUCGGAAGCCAGAAAACAGGUGGUGCACGGUUGUCGUCAGCUCGUGUCGUGAGAUGUUGGGUUAAGUCCCGCAACGAGCGCAACCCCUAUCUUAUGUUGCCAGCACUUUGGGUGGGGACUCAUGAGAGACUGCCGCAGACAAUGCGGAGGAAGGCGGGGAUGACGUCAAAUCAUCAUGCCCCUUAUGACCUGGGCUACACACGUACUACAAUGGGAGUUAAUAGACGGCAGCGAGAUCGCGAGAUGGAGCAAACCCGAGAAACACUCUCUCAGUUCGGAUCGUAGGCUGCAACUCGCNUACGUGAAGUCGGAAUCGCUAGUAAUCGCAGGUCAGCAUACUGCGGUGAAUACGUUCCCGGGCCUUGUACACACCGCCCGUCACACCACGAAAGUCGGAAGUGCCCAAAGC
rnacentral:rRNA from 1 species